rnacentral:tRNA from 1 species
AGCAGAAUGGCGAAAUUGGUAGACGCACAGGACUUUGACUCCUGCAUUUGAAGGUUCGAACCCUUCUUCUGCUGCCA